UAGGGAAUCUUCCACAAUGGACGCAAGUCUGAUGGAGCAACGCCGCGUGAGUGAAGAAGGUCUUCGGAUCGUAAAACUCUGUUGUUAGAGAAGAACACGAGUGAGAGUAACUGUUCAUUCGAUGACGGUAUCUAACCAGCAAGUCACGGCUAACUACGUCCCAG
rnacentral:rRNA from 1 species